UACGAAGGGGGCUAGCGUUGCUCGGAAUUACUGGGCGUAAAGGGCGCGUAGGCGGCUUAACAAGUCACUUGUGAAAUCUCCGGGCUUAACUCGGAACGGUCAAGUGAUACUGUCGGACUAGAGUACAGAAGGGGCAACUGGAAUUCUCGGUGUAGCGGUGAAAUGCGUAGAUAUCGAGAGGAACACCUGCGGCGAAGGCGGGUUGCUGGGCUGAUACUGACGCUGAGGCGCGAAAGCCAGGGGAGCGAACGGG
rnacentral:rRNA from 1 species